rnacentral:lncRNA from 1 species
CUGACUAAAACAUGUUGACAUAGAAAGCAAGUGCUAUAAGCAAACAGGACUACUAUAGAGUUUAGACCAAAUUGCACUCUGAACAACAAAGAUCAAAGUACCGGCAUUGAAAUGAGAAAAACUGAAUAACCAUUCCAACAACUAAAAAUGCAAUGAGACAUCUAAGGAAAUGCCAGAGAGUAUCACUAACAGACAAAAACAUUCUCAAACAACAUGAGCAAGACCAAUUCUAAGUAAAAUUUACCUUGCUCCAGGCAUUGUUGAGGAAAUCGUUAACUGGUAGCUGCUCGGUUGGCUGGUGAGUAGGGGAUUAAUUGGCUAAUCGGCAAGUUAAUCGACCAUUUAAUUAAUUAAUCAGACGAUUUAUCGUUUUAUAGGCUACUCGGUGACCCUACGAGUAGGGAUUAAUCGGCAAGUUAACUGGUUAAUCGGAUGAAUUCUUGAACAGGGGCUCCAGGAGAGCGCGUCUUUCAACUCACUUCUACCGAAGAAAAAGUACAACCAUCGCAGCGAUUCUUUCUUCAAUCAUAGCAGCAAUCUAAGUAACUAUGAGACACAUAACUAUGCUAAUUAAGUGUCAUAAUACACACAUGUACCAUGUAUGCAAAAUUGAAUGCCGUAAUACAGUGUGCACACAAAAAUCAAACUAACAGCCAACAAACAAAUAGCUGCAUAUAGUAAUAAGAAGUUUUAAUACCAUAGAUUGAUACACCAGGUCAGACAUUAACAGAGAUCAAAUAAAUAGCCACAGAUCGAUAUACCAGGUCAGAACAUUAACAAGACAUUAUAACCAGCACCAAAUGAUGAGAUCGCAGGUGCUACCAAUUGCUACUGCAACCAUCCAAAAUGACACGUUCUACUAGUAGUACCGACAAGUAAGAAGAGCCAAGAAAAAAAAAUACAUGCUCUGAAUCCAGCCAUCAUGCUGCUCGCUGGAGAGCCAAUAUGUGUAGCCUGCCAUCUGAGGCCGCCACCCCGGCAUGCAAGCCCUCCAGCAAGGUUGCACCUUGGCACGCG